rnacentral:rRNA from 1 species
UGGGGAAUAUUGGGCAAUGGGCGCAGGCCUGACCCAGCAACGCCGCGUGAGGGAAGAAGGCCUUCGGGUCGUAAACCUCUGUCAGGAGGGAAGAAGUGGAUGGGCCUGAACAGGGUCUGUCUUUGACGGUACCUCCACAGGAAGCACCGGCCAACUCCGUGCCAGCAGCCGCGGUAAUACGGAGGGUGCAAGCGUUAUUCGGAAUCACUGGGCGUAAAGCGCGCGUAGGCGGCGGGGCAAGUCAGGUGUGAAAGCCCUCGGCUUAACCUAGGAACUGCACUUGAAACUGCUCUGCUAGAGUUCGGGAGAGGGUGGCGGAAUUCCCGGUGUAGGAGUGAAAUCCGUAGAUAUCGGGAGGAACACCAGAGGCGAAGGCGGCCACCUGGACCGAAACUGACGCUGAGGUGCGAAAGCGUGGGGAGCAAACA